GGAGAGAUGGCCGAGAUGGCUGAAGGCGCUCGCCUGCUAAGCGAGUGUAGGUAACCAAUCCUACCGAGGGUUCGAAUCCCUCUCUCUCCGCCA
rnacentral:tRNA from 1 species